GUUUCAUUUGUACGUUACGCACAACAAGACAUUCCGUUACAUUCGAGAGUGUGUGAAAAUACUGGAGCGCCAGGCCGGUCAAGGCCAUGCAAAGCGGCACUCAGAGUCAUAGAUGCACAGGUGUGUGGAUUUGCGACUCGCCAAACGUGCACAUGUGUCUCCACCAGCACAGUAUGGACGGAGCCGACUUUUGAAGUUUCACUAAUGAUCCUUCCGCAGGUUCACCUACGGAAA
rnacentral:misc_RNA from 1 species